CCAUUAAAUACGCCGAAUCCUGGACAGGUACGGAGGACCCUUUCAUUUGGGGUGAAGCGCAGUAGCGCAGGGCUAAGCCUGGCCCUAACCCGGCAGCUAACUCCGGAGGCGACGAGAGGCGGUUCG
rnacentral:sRNA from 1 species